GGCCAAGCACAUGGUAGCAUGUAGAUGAACACCGACACUGCUGGGCUGUGUAACUCUGUUCUGGCAGCUUUGAUUACACAGGAAGUGGAGGAACAAUUUCUCGCCACAUUGUGCGCUAAGGAAUAAAAAAAAGAAAGUUCCAGCAGCGGCGGCGCUGGAGGAGCUUCAGACUGAAACGUUCAGGAAGAUCACGACACACAAGGAACCGACUAAACGCUGGCAAAUACCCGAUGAGAUCAAACUCAAACAAUGAGAGACACGACAGAGCAGAGGGUCACGUACAAAGACUCAAGAAUGAUGUGUUUUAACAGAAGAUCUUCAAACAAAUUCGAUUCAUUAUAGAUAUCUUAUCUAUAGCUAUUUUUUUAAUUCAUUAACCCUUACACAUAAGAUCGACAUGUCGAGUUGACACGGUUCACUGCAUGUCUUACUCUGUAUGUAUGUGUAUGUGACAAAUAAAUUGCAUGACUUUUAAAUUUAAAACCGUUUAAAUCAAGAAUCCGGACAAUUUGCUGUACAGUAUAACACGAACAAAAUCAACUCGGACGUAUACAGGAGGAGACCUUGCUUUAAGAUCCACGACUCUCAGACAUCCCGAAUUUGAUCCUGGCCGGUACAAAGCCGUGUACGUCACCUCACCUGUAAUACGGUGAUGAGGUGCUGAUAAGGUGAGUGAACUAUACAGAAGACAAAAAUUGACAUCAGGGAUUAAAAAAACCUUCCUGAAGAAAAACUGCUCAUGAUGCAUUUGAAGAGCUUUUUGCCAUGCAAAAUGGAAGAAGACUUGAACUGUGGUGUUUGUUCAGACUACACAUAGACACACACACUCCACACACUCCACACACAUCACAGUGUUCGAGACUCACGAUGACACAGUUACCUGCACCAGUCUGAAACUUCCUAAAUAAACACCAUAUUUAACAUCGUGUGUGAAAAUAACUCUUAGUCAAGAAGGUAAUUGGACUGCAUUGACUUUACUUCUCUUUCAGCAAGGCGCUUGUUUCUGAUCAUUAAUCUAAUCAUUAAUCUGAUCUAAUCACAGUCAUUCAUUAAGCGUUGGAUCAUUAAGCGUUAGAUUAGAUUAGAAGCGUUAGAUCAUUAAUCAAACUCAAUUACGGGUAGAGCUGCUUAAUCAUCUGUUCAGUCUCAACACAAUACAUGGCCUUUUAAACCCUAUUUUAUUCCAAUUUUUAUUUAUAUAUAUAAAUGAGAAUGAGAGAGAGGGGGGGGGGUUUAUUACAUUUAUAUAUCAUUUACAUUCCGACCAAUAGAUUAUAUAUAGAUGAGCUGCGAGUUUCUCAAUCAAGUGCCAUGGAUGAAAAAAAAGAGCCUUCUUUGUAAGACAAGAACGUACGAUUUACAAGGAUUAACAUUCGUUAUAAAAAGCUACAAGAGCCUAAGUU